GAAAUGGUAGGGUUGUGCACUCUGACCCUAGCAGAUAAAGUAGCUUUCGACUAUUUUCCAGAUUUGCAUACGUAAAAGAAGGAUUUGUGGGACUUCUAUUUAUUGUUUUCGCGGUGGGUUUUGAUUAAUGUUGGCCUCAUUACUAUGCAAUUAUCACUAAACUAGAAAGACUUGAUUAGAAUCACUACACCCAAGAAAAAGGCGUUGAGAGAUAUGAAGAACAUUUUGAAAAUGUUUCCCUUGAAGAUGUAUGCUUUGACACAUCGUAGACUCGAGUCUGACUUCUCACAUAAAAGGGC
rnacentral:sRNA from 1 species